rnacentral:rRNA from 1 species
GUGGGGAAUAUUGCGCAAUGGGGGAAACCCUGACGCAGCAACGCCGCGUGAGUGAUGAAGGCUUUCGAGUCGUAAAACUCUGUCUUUGGGGACGAAUAAUGACGGUACCCAAGGAGGAAGCCCCGGCUAACUACGUGCCAGCAGCCGCGGUAAUACGUAGGGGGCAAGCGUUGUCCGGAAUCACUGGGCGUAAAGGGCGCGUAGGCGGUUUGUUAAGUCAGGUGUGAAAGUUUUCAGCUUAACUGGAAAAGUGCACUUGAAACUAACUUACUUGAGUACUGGAGAGGUAAGCGGAAUUCCUAGUGUAGCGGUGAAAUGCGUAGAUAUUAGGAAGAACACCGGUGGCGAAGGCGGCUUACUGGACAGAGACUGACGCUGAGGCGCGAAAGCGUGGGGAGCGAACAGGAUUAGAAACCCUAGUAGUCC